rnacentral:misc_RNA from 1 species
UGAAGAACGUAGUGAAAUGCGAUAAGUAAUGUGAAUUGCAGAAUUCAGUGAAUCAUCGAAUCUUUGAACGCACCUUGCGCUCCUUGGUAUUCCGAGGAGCAUGCCUGUUUGAGUGUCAUGAAAUUCUCAACCUUUUCAGCUUUCUUUGUUGAUCAGGCUUGGAUGUGGGAGUAUGCGGGCUUCUCAGAAGUCGGCUCUCCUGAAAUGCAUUAGCGGGACCUUUGUUGCCUGGCUUUGGUGUGAUAAUUAUCUACGCCAUUGUAGUCAAGCAGCUUAAAAUGAGGUUUCAGCUUCUAACCGUCUCCCCUGAGACAACUUUUUGACAAUUUGACCUCAAAUCAGGUAGGACUACCCGCUGAACUUAAGCAUAUCAAUAAGCGGAGGA